rnacentral:rRNA from 1 species
GAUGAACGCUGGCGGCGUGCCUAAUACAUGCAAGUAGAACGCUGAAGGAAGGAGCGUGCGCUCUCCGGAGGAGUGGCGAACGGGUGAGUAACGCGUAGGUAAGCUGCCUGGUAGCGGGGGAGAACUAUUGGAAACGAUAGCUAAUACCGCAUAACAGUAGAUGUUGCAGGAUAUCUACUUAAAAGGUGCAAUGGCACCACUACCAGAUGGACCUGCGUUUUAUUAGCUAGUUGGGGAGGGAACGGCUCACCAAGGCGACGAUACAUAGCCGACCUGAGAGGGUGGUCGGCCACCCUGGGAAUGAGACACGGCCCCGACUCCCUCGGGGGGCAGGAGUAGGGGAUCUUCGGCAAUGGACGGAAGUCUGACCGAGCAACGCCGCGUGAGUGAAGAAGGUUUUCGGAUCGUAAAGGUCUGUUGUAAGAGAAGAAAGAGUGUGAGAGUGGAAAGUUCACACUGUGACGGUACCUUACCAGAAAGGGACGGCUAACUACGUG